rnacentral:rRNA from 1 species
UACUCGAGUGGCGAACGGGUGAGUAACACGUUGGUGAUCUGCCCUGCACUUCGGGAUAAGCUUUGGAAACUGGGUCUAAUACCGGAUAGGAGCCAUCUUUAGUGUGGUGGUUGGAAAGUUUUUUCGGUGUAGGAUGAGCUCGCGGCCUAUCAGCUUGUCGGUGGGGUAAUGGCCUACCAAGGCGGCGACGGGUAGCCGGCCUGAGAGGGUGUACGGCCACAUUGGGACUGAGAUACGGCCCAG